AGUGGCGGACGGGUGAGUAACGCGUGAAUAACCUGCCCUGUACCGGGGGACAACAGUUGGAAACGACUGCUAAUACCGCAUAAGCGCACGGUUCCGCAUGGAACAGUGUGAAAAACUCCGGUGGUAUGAGAUGGACCCGCGUCUGAUUAGCUAGUUGGUGGGGUAACGGCCUACCAAGGCGACGAUCAGUAGCCGACCUGAGAGGGUGACCGGCCACAUUGGGACUGAGACACGGCCCAAACUCCUACGGGAGGCAGCAGUGGGGAAUAUUGCACAAUGGGGGAAACCCUGAUGCAGCGACGCCGCGUGAGCGAAGAAGUAUUUCGGUAUGUAAAGCUCUAUCAGCAGGGAAGAAAAUGACGGUACCUGACUAAGAAGCCCCGGCUAACUACGUGCCAGCAGCCGCGGUAAUACGUAGGGGGCAAGCGUUAUCCGGAUUUACUGGGUGUAAAGGGAGCGUAGACGGCGAGGCAAGUCUGAUGUGAAAACCCGGGGCUCAACCCCGUGACUGCAUUGGAAACUGUUUUGCUUGAGUGCCGGAGAGGUAAGCGGAAUUCCUAGUGUAGCGGUGAAAUGCGUAGAUAUUAGGGGGAACAUCAGUGGCGAAGGCGGCUUACUGGACUGAAACUGACACUGAGGCCCGAAAGCGUGGGGAGCAAACAGG
rnacentral:rRNA from 1 species